rfam:Myotis lucifugus cont2.39417, whole genome shotgun sequence.
GCCAGUGUUGCUCAGUGGAUAGAGCGUCUGCCUGGGCACCAAAGGGUCACAGGUUCGAUUCCUGGUCAAGAGCA